rnacentral:rRNA from 1 species
GGACAACGCUGGCGGCGUGCUUAAUACAUGCAAGUCAACUUGACUUUAGAUAGCAAUAUCGAAAAGUAGGGUGGCGCACGGGUGCGUAACGCGUAGGUAAUCUGCCCUGAGGUCUGACAUAACCCGUCGAAAGGCGGGCUAACAUCAGAUGAUAUAUAAUCACGACAUCGUGGAAAUAUCAAAUCUUCGGAGCCUUGGGAUGAGCCUGCGUCUGAUUAGGUAGUUGGCGGAGUAAUAGCCCACCAAGCCUACGAUCAGUAGCUGGUCUGAGAGGAUGAUCAGCCACACUGGAACUGAGACACGGUCCAGACUCCUACGGGAGGCAGCAGUAAGGAAUAUUGCUCAAUGGGGGGAAACCCUGAAGCAGCAACGCCGCGUGAAGGAUGAAAUACUUUGUAUGUAAACUUCUGUAAGAUGGGAAAAAUAUUCUCCUCGGGAGAAUUGAUUGUACCAUCAGAGUAAGCCCCGGCUAACUACGUG